rnacentral:rRNA from 1 species
UUGCUCUUCAACGAGGAAUGCCUAGUAAGCGCGUGUCAUCAGCAUGCGUUGAUUACGUCCCUGCCCUUUGUACACACCGCCCGUCGCUACUACCGAUUGAAUGGCUCAGUGAGGCAUUCGGACUGGCUCGGGGAGGUUGGCAACGACCACCCCGAGCCGGAAAGUUCUCCAAACUCGGUCAUUUAGAGGAAGUAAAAGUCGUAACAAGGUUUCCGUAGGUGAACCUGCGGAAGGAUCAUUACCAUUCAAAUAAAACAAGACCCGCGGGGGCAGCUUUCCAAUAGGACAGUCAGUAGAUGUACGGUUCUGCUGGCUGGCAGCUGAACGGGAGGCAGUCGAGUACCAUUUAUGGUCCUGCCUUGGCUAGUAAGCUGAUCGAGCUGCGUAUCCUGAACCCUACCCUUGCUUUUUGCGCACCCAUUGUUUCCUCGGCAGGCUUGCCUGCCAGUAGGACCCCCUUUAAACCUUUUGUAAUUGCAAUCAGCGUCAGAAAUAACGUAAUCGUUACAACUUUCAACAACGGAUCUCUUGGUUCUGGCAUCGAUGAAGAACGCAGCGAAAUGCGAUAAGUAGUGUGAAUUGCAGAAUUCAGUGAAUCAUCGAAUCUUUGAACGCACAUUGCGCCCCUUGGUAUUCCAUGGGGNCAUGCCUGUUCGAGCGUCAUUUGUACCCUCCAGCCCUGCUGGGUGUUGGGCGUUUUGUUCCGCUACACGCGUGAACUCGCCUCAAAUGCAUUGGCAGCCAGCCGUCCCGCGUGGGAGCGCAGCACAUUUUGCGCUCUCCGCUGGGUGCGGCGGCGUCCACAAGCCUAUACUUUUACGCUUGACCUCGGAUCAGGUAGGGAUACCCGCUGAACUUAAGCAUAUCAAUAAGCGGAGGA